GUUCCUGUAGCGCAAUGAACAGUGCGUUAGAUCUCUAAUCUGAAAUUGUGGGUUCUAAUCCCACCUGGUAUG